CAGUUAUUGACUGUGCCUCCUUGAUGGACAUGAGCGAUGGCCUGUUCAGGAUCACGCCCAUGUCAGCGGACAGGAGGAGGAUCACCGUGCGCUCGAAGAUGUGUGAUCCGUCCAGCUUCUUUGUCGCGAUCAAGAGACACCCCUUCUCUGGCUCGACCAGUGGAUGUGCCCACUUGUCAGCGAUCUUCGCUGGCCCUGGCUUUGCCGCUGUAACCGCUGCAGCUGCUGGGUUGACGCUGUUCGAGUACUGCUCUUUCAAAAUGAGCUGUGCUCGGAACGAGCGCCAGUCAGCAUCGAUAGUCGGCGCUGCUCCGUCCUCGGAUGACCGCGCGUUGUAGCUGCAGCCUGGAGGCAAGUGAAAAAACGUUGUAUCUAAUUAAUACUGUCUGAGCAGGCAGCAAGGGAAAAACCUCCACGGGGAUAGCAGGAGAUCGAUCAACUCACAAGUGAUAGAGGAGCUCGCGCGUCUGUUGUUAAAGAGCAGGUGAAGGCUGGGCUUCGCAAUGCCGGCUGGCGACGGGAGAGCCAUGUUUGUGGGCGAAGCUUUGGAGGUCGGAAGCAAGAGUCUCCAGUAUUUAGCUUCACCACGAACUUGGGAACAGGAGAGCUAGGAUCACCGGCAGUGACAGGAUGUAGGGAAGACCUGCAACUAAAUAGGAAGAACGGAUUGAUGGAGCCGGAGCAUCUGAACCACAUAUUAUGAGGCCGCGGCCCGAAAUGGAUAUAGCUCGUCUUUUACAUGCUCUCAUCUGGGCCAAUGGCGACGCAAAAUGGUGACGUGAGGCGCCCAAAAAACUUGUGGACCAGCCACAGUUUGUGGCCACGGCUUGGCUCGAUAGGGUUGGGGGAUAAGAACACUAAGAGCAGGGACUGUGCUGCUUGGAGUUUAGCAUGGACUAGGCAUUCUUGUAGUGGUGUACUAUUCUUUGACGAGCCUUUGGAAGAUGUAUGUGGCUAGCCUGCUAGUGCUAGGAGAGGGGAUUCCUUACCCUGAUCAGCUGAUUGCGAUCCGUGUAAUAAUAUCAUAAUAAUAAAUGAUCAAUGAUUUUUUUUCUAGAAUACACUAGGAUGAGUGUAUCAUAUAUUGAAGAAGAAACCUGAGACGCAGUUACAUGGCCAAGAGGCCAAUUAUUUACAACACAAUUACUCACUAAUGUUCCACACACCCACAGAAUUAUCUAAACGAAAGCGCUCAUUUUUUAGAAGUCCGGCGGUGUACCAAGCAGCACCCUCUUGGUUUAUAAGACAAAGAAUCUCCCACGCGUGAGGACGACGGCCGUCAAAGACAACGGCAUUCCUGUGCUUCCAGGUGCACCAGAGCACAAGUAUGAUACCGGUAUCAACAUCCUUCUGAUCGAUCCUCGGGACCUCGGCACCUUGCGGUUCGACCACCAUUGCUGCAGAUUAUCAUCAGCCAAAGAGGGGGUCCAGCCAGGAACGCCCCACCUGCCAAGAAUGGAAACCCAAACCUGUCGUGUCACCACACAACGAAGAAGGAGAUGGGAGAUCCUCUCUGGUUCUUGAUCACAAAGAGGACAUCGAGCUCAGUGCAAAACUAGAACUAAACCUUACCUCUUUGAUCAAUGCUGUUGAGAUCCCAAAACUGAAAUCCAAUUUUUUGGGUGGUGAAAUCGACGUUUUGAAGGGUAACCUUACCUCUUUGAUCAACGCUGUUGAGAUCCCAAAACUGUAAUGGCUAGCUACAUGUCUACAUCUAGUCCUGUGUUCUCCUGCUCAUUUACAAGCAUGCUGACUUCUUUUCCGCGUGGUUCCUCAUCGGCAGGACUGGACUAUGUGCUGGAUUCUGCCAUUGCCAGGAGUGCAGUAGGUGAGUACUGGACUGACUCUGAUUUGUCGUUCUGAAAUGGAAAAUCGGUGAUGUGCUAUAGUGUUGGCGCCUUCGUCGUAGGAUAGUGUUCUGCGCCGGGCUCCGGCCUCCGGAUCUCCGACGUGAAGACCUACUCCAGUGUACUUGUGUGCUUGUCGAUCGUGUGAGAGAUCUGCAGGAUGAGAGUGAGAGAGGGGAAUAUACCUGCACCCGGGAGCAAGCAAGGGCCAAGAUUAGGUUGGAUGAGGCAACUUAGCCAUGUGAACAUCCAGUAAAAAUGAGAGAAAAGGUGCACGUCUAGAACCUUUAUUUCCGGGCCCUUCUGACAUUCUUUUCUCCUCAAUACUUUUCUCAUUUCCUUCAGAACGCUAAGCUCACUCGCUCGCGGCUGCUGCCUCCUGCCGACAGAAUUCAUGUCCCCGAACCACAUGGGCACGAGUACAGCAGAAGCAGUACGGUUCGGCUGUUUCUGUACUCCCUUGUUAAAUAGACUGACAGAGUCUGUUGGGGUAGCUGACCCAACGAAAUUGCUGACGAAAUUGGGCCAGCUCCGUCGUGACUCUUGAAGACUCCGUGGUCCGGAUGCAGACUGACUGUGAGCAUAGCAAAUUUUGGAGCCGAUUUCUUGCAGGUUCGAGCAGUAGCGAACAAGACGCCCAAGUCCAGCUCUAAAGCCUCCUCCCUUCCCUCCUCUGCGCGAACCCAAAAAGGAAGCCAACACAUGGGGCCUAAUCCCUCAUCAUCAAGCCGCGUGUGCUCCUCCGGAUCCACCAAUCAAAUGCCAGCGCCUUUACACAAAGUUGCACCGCCAAAGCACAUCGAUCACCCAGAGCGAGAGCGCGAGGGAGGCGCUUUGCUUUGUUUUUGUUUCGGAUGCCGUUUGCACUGUUGCUAUAAGGGGAAACCGGCGUGGUGGCUGGCACGACCCGAGCAGGGGGAUCACACGUACGGUGCUGUGGAUCAGCAGCUACUGAGUGAAUGAGUGAGUGAGGUGCUGUGAAACAUCCUCUGCUCCGGUGGCCGGGUUAGCAAUGGGCCUUGCCGGCGGCAUUGUUCGGAGAGUCCUCUCCAAGAGCCCCUGCGGCUCAUCGUCGUCGACCGGCCGCGGAGGCGUCCACACCGUGCGUGGCAUACUUCACAGCUAGCGUGCAAUUGUUUUGAAAUGGAUUUUGUAAUGACAUUUUGCAUAUGGACAUUGUUUUGAUUCGCAGGAACGGAGCUCGGGUGAUCAAAGGAGGAGAUCGUGGAGCUCCCUCAGGAUGUACCUGUGCGGCGACGAGACCAGCGCCGCGGCCGCAGAGGGGGAUGAGGACGACGACGACGACGAAGACCAAGACGGGACGGUCUCCGCCAGAAGCUUCGAGACGGCCUGCGCGACGACGAUGACGACGCAGGAUCAGGCUCAAGCUCCGGUGGCAGAUCACCACGGCCACGUGAACGGCGAUGUCCAACUUGGAGGGCAGGGAGCCAUGGUGCUGCCCACGGAGCCUGCGGCCGGCGAAGAGGAAGCGGCGGCUACGCUGAUCCAGUCCGCGUUCAGGGGACUCAUGGUGCGUUCCCGAUUCAAAUGCCCGAUCGAGCUUUCAAGAUCAGGUCCACGCUCAGGCAUAUCCAUUAAUUGUUGAUCGUAAUGUCACUUGCGUUGCGUUGCAGGCGAGGAGGAGGCAAUUGUUGCCGGAGCUGGAAGGGAGUUUGUCAGGACAGGACGGCUGCUGCGCCGAGGAGCCCUGCAAGAGCCCUGCAUCGCCGUCGACCAUGGCGGCAUCGGUGGAGGUCCAGGUAGGCGAGUCCCUGAGCAACCUCCGGCUGAGCGACGCCGACGACGGCGCGUCGUUGUCGGCGCAGCACCGUGGGGGCGCAAGCCAGACCAAGUCGUCGCGGCCACAGGUGUUCAGAGCCAAGGUAAAUGCAACGCAGCAAUAACUUACAACACGGAUGAGUUUGAUUUGCUAAUAAUUGGGUGAAUUUGCUGCUGCAGGAGGAGUGGGACGACAGCACGCUGAGCUCCAACAUGCUGCGGAUGCGGAUCCAGAGCAAGAUGGAGGCCACGACGCGGCGGGAACGAGCCCUCGCGUACGCCUUCUCGCAGCAGGUACGCACAUCACAAUAUCAUCACAGAUCACAUUGGUUACUGAGUUUGAGAGAUACUAACUGACGGUCUUUUUGCGCUUCGGUGGCAAAGCUGAGGAGCUGCGGCGGCACCGGCGGCGUUGGGGGCACGAAGAAGCGGUCGUCGCGGUCGGAGCAGGGGGAGUUCAACGUGGGGUGGAGCUGGCUGGAGCGGUGGAUGGCGACGCGGCAGGCCGAGCCCUGCCCCAGCGACGACGGCGCCAGCAGGAACGCGGCGGACGCCGGCUCGGUGGCCGGGCGGCGGGUGGUGGUCGUCAGGCGGCGGCCGCAGGGGCAGGGGCAGGGGGACGUGGCCGUGGAGGAGAAGGAGAGCUGCGGGUCCAACGACGUCUCCGCCGUCAGCUUCGACGGCUCCAGCGCCGGCGGCCGGAGCGGGCUGAGCUGCUACAGGCCAGGCAAGAACCGGCUCAGGGGCGCCCGGAACCUGCCGCGGCGGAAGGUUGCGGCGGCAGCCGAGCACCGGCUCAAAGAAAGAUCGCACAAGGUAACAACAAAAAUCUCUCGAAUUUCCACCUUAAUCAAUCUCGUCUGCAAUGUCCUGUGCUGAUUCGAGAACUUGCCGUGAUCAAGGUGAGCAAGAAGGCGCGGCAGAGAGAGGAUCGCCAAGCCGAGGCAGACGAGGCAGACGAUCCCCGUCAACCCCCAACGGAUUACUGAAACUGGGACGAACAAUGAUGCAGAUAGCUUCUUCAGUUCCGUCGGAUUAACUUGUCAUGCGAUGAUUUCUCUUUUCUUUUCGGUUGCUUGCUGCUAAAGUGUGUGAUGUAUGCUGAGUUGGUUCAGUAGCUGCUAAAUAAAGUACGCAAAUGACAACGGAAAAUAAGCCUGACAGCAAGGAGAAAUGUGGUAAAAAUCUUGGUUUUCCAUAGAGUAGCUCAACACAAAUCCCACCAAAUCUACAUCAUUCCACCUAGGUUAUCUAAGCUAUAUAAAAUUGUUCCCGACUACAGCACUGCACAGAUAUAUUUCUCCCAACAGAGGCCACGAAUCAAGUUUAAGACGCAUUUCUCCCAACAGAGGCCACGAAUUAAGUUGAAGACGCCUGCGAAGCUACGUCGUCCUUGGCGAGGGCCACAUAGUUCACCGGAGCUACUGGUCUGACAUUGUCCCUACCCCCGUCCCGGCUCGCAGACCGGGGGUUGUUCUGCAGCGCCGACAGCCUGCGGUUCGGCGUGCCAUUCACGGCAGCGCCGUUGGCCCGAGGGCCUGCCGCCUUCUUUGUAGAAGACUGGGGCCGGGCUGGGCUGGGUUUUGAGCCGAACAGCUUCUCCUGCUCAGCAGCUAGCUGGUCGUUUAUCUUCUUCUGGUCCUAAGAAUGACACAGACAAAAGUUAAGAAACAAAUGGCUCCGCAGAGAAAUGAUUUAGGAACCAGUCAUCGAUGAGACAAAGGAACGAUAGAAAGAGUACCCUCAUUCUCCGCUUCUCUUCUUCCUUCUCCUGUCUCAGGAUUCUGUAUUCAUCCAGCAUUGCAAGAAGAGCUAUACCAUCAUAGGUGAAUGUUGUCCUGUGCUCUUUUUCCCAAGCAUGGGUCUUUGUCACCAGCGUGUCGACAAUACCUACAGUACACCAUCAAAGACAUUCAUGAUAAGUUAGUUCAUAAUAUUAGGAAUAACAUUGUCUUCUCAUCACAAUACCUGAAUAUCAGAAAGAUGUAGUGAGUUCUAAGGCAGUGGAAGCUACAACUGCCACAUGUAGGACAAUGCAAUUCUCACAGAGAAACAACUUCCAAAACAUACCUGGAAUUUUAUUAACCAAAACACGAGCUUUUUCUGCACGCUUGAGGUUCAGAUGUGCACCUCUAGUUGCGCUGUAUCUGUUAUCAUCCUGCCAUUAAGAGAACAUCAACAUAAGAGUCCACAAUAAAACACGUGGUGGUUUCAACUACAUGAAAAGAAUAGAAUUGGAGAACAAUGCUGGUGCAAAGGAACAUCAAAGCCUAAAGUGCCACUUGAUAUCGCCCAUUUCUGUCACUAAAACAAAGACAAAGAGAAGGUAACGUAACAAAUUUCCAUACCCGGUUAUAGUCUUCAAGCCAGCUCUCUUCUUCACAUGCUAACAUCCACCUGUCAACCUUCUCCAGUAUGUCCUUUCUACUAAAGGCCUCUUCUUUUGCUUUGAGUAUCUGGUUCUCCAUAUCAGCCAGCAGUUCCGAAGGCUCGAACAUGCUAGAAUCAAUAACCGACAGUAUUCUAUCUCUUGCAGCACUAGUAUCUACUGCAAUAUGAGCCCGAGCAUAUAUAUCUUCAAGUUCAGUCUGCCUUUUGAAUGCAAUAUCCUUCAUCCUGCUAGCUUUUAGCUGAUCCAGCCUUUCGACUUCAAGUUCAGCCUUUAGAGUGCAUAAACAUGUCAGCACAUGGGUGAACAGUAUGCUACUUUAGCAGUAAGUUCAACUCACACAGAGAGGAAAAAAGAUCUUAACCUGCUCAAUUACAUCAAGAGCCAAAGCUCCUGGGACUGUCACUCUAUCCGAUGUUGAGGACAUAUGGCAUGUGACAUGAUCAAAAUGUUGCCGUUCUUCCACAGUGGUAUCCAUCAGGUUCCAAAGAUCAGUUAGCUGGGAAGCUAGAGCUUGAAUCUAAGAGAUACCAUUUAAUCAGAAAAUAGUGUCACAUAACAUCAUCAGAUCAAAGAGACCUGAAGAUAAGAUCACAAACAGAAAGACACUGACUGCAAAUUUACCUUAUCAAGCCUCUUCACUUUCUCUUCUUUAAGUUCAAUCACCAUUUUCGACAGCCUGGAUAUUGUUUCAUCACUAAUACUCUUGGAAUCAGCACCAACAGAGUCAUUGAGGCUAGGAUGAACUGCAGUAACAGUGCUCAAGAAAUCCAUCCCAAGGACAGAACAAAGAUCGUGCACUGAACUCACAAAGUCAAGAAUCUUCUGCAGCCUAUUACUCUGCGAUACAUAAAGAAAACACAAAUGUCAUUUCAAGCCAGUUGAUAUUACAAUCCAAAGUAAAGAUAUUGCAAUGGUGAUUAAUAUGGUACAUGAUUAUGUGUUACGCCACAUUUAGAUCUCAAACAUAAAGGGGGUAAUGAUUACUGAAGUCAUGCAACCUUGGCAUAUGAAGAGAUUUGAAAAAACAAAUAAAACAUGCAAAAUUAUGUGUGCAAUGCCCAAACAUAGAAUCCCUCCAGGCUCCAGGAUGGUCAAGCUUUAAUGUUUGAAACACUGGCACAUUAACAGAAAAUAACCAGUUCAUAGAUUCUGCAAAGGAAACAAUGGAAUCAGUAUCAACCUUUUCCUUCUGUAGUGCUUGUAGUUCAAAAAGAUAUUCAUUUAAUUUCUUCAUUGAAAGAUCAUCCUCAUCAACAUGGGGCAUUUCCAGGUGGUCACCAACUUGUAGACUCCCUGCGAUUUCACCACGUAUCGUUUGAAUUUGGAGCUGUACAUCAGCAAACUCUUUCACCCUCUUCUCUUUUUUCUGGCAGAGUUGUUCUAAGAAUGGAGAUGUUGCUGCUAGUUGCUCCUUAAUUGUACCAGUUGUCUUGUCGGGCUGUAAAUCAGCAGAAAGGAGACAUGCACUAUAUUAGAGAGAGAGAGAGGGAGAGAGGGAGAGAGAGAGAGAGAGAUUAUUAUAAUUGAAGAUGAACUCUGUGAGAAAUGCAAAAGUAUAAAAUAGAACUAUGACAAACUAUCAAGUAUCAGCUAAAACUAAUCUGUAUUGUUUAUGUAUAUAAAGGAACUAGGUUGAAGUGGGAGAUGGGGGGCUAUCCCCAGAUACUUACAAUUAUAACACCAGAAAUAGACAGCUCUCCUAAUGAAGAAAGGAGUCUAGUAAGCUCGGAUUUGGAGUUGGCAAGUUGUUGAAGGAGACGUGCCCUGGAAGUAGAAGCCUGAUCAACCUUUCUCCUGUAAACAUCUAGGCACUCCUGUUCUAGCUGAAGUAACAUCUUGUCUCGAUCAUCAUCGCUCUCACCAACCUCGUCCCAUAUCAGCUGAAGUAACACCCGUCAACCAUUAAGAGUCUAUGUUCACUCUUAUAGAUGCAGAUAAGAAGUUCAAUUGGUAUUUUUGUUUCCACUGUUUUAAAUUUAGCUCUCAUAAAGCUCAUGGAGAAACAAUUUCUUUUAGAGGGAGGAAGGGCUGGGAGCAAAGCACCUGUAAUUUCUGCAGCAAAGACCCACAUGUGGUUUCACCUAACAAAGGAUCGUUGUGACCUGCCACUCCCAUCUUAGCUCAACGAUCUGCAAUGAGAUGAUGAUAGGUGAUCAUGCAUAUACAAUCUGAGACCAUCAUGAUUUAUGAUUUAAUGGUAUGUGUACUUAUUGCACCGUAAAGAUCCACAAGUCACAGAAGUUAAACAAACAAUGCAGACCUAUCUGUCACACACCCAAUUACCCAAACAAGAAAAUAAGCAUGAAAAAACUAUAACCUGAAUUUUUCAUGCAGCGCUGCAAUUUUACACUAGCAAAUAGUAAUAAAAUAUAUAUGCUGAAAAUUCCUAGAUUAUUGCAUAUACUAAAUACCACUGAACUUUCUGACAAGUAUUGUGACACUCUCAAUGGUACUGUAUAAAAAACCAAACUGAAUCACUUUGAUUUAGCAAUCAGAAACAUAAGUUGCUCGAAUUCAUAGCCAUAGAUAGGCAAGAUUAUACCAUAACUGACAAACAUACCAAGAUCUACCACAAGGAUUCUCACAUACACCUUCGUAGGUUUUCAAGAAACUGUAACAGACCAAAUCGGCCAAAAACAUUAUAAAUUCACCUGCUGACUGACAUAUGUCCUGUGUCGCUUCAACCAUACAUUUGCAACAUUAAUUAUGAAUGUUCAGAUAAUUUUGAAUUGAAAUGUACAUAUUUUAGACAGUAAAUACCAUCUGGCGACAAGACUACAUACUUGCUUUAACAAAUUCUCCACACAAAGAACAAAAAAGGAUUCAGCAUAACGACCUAAUUGCAAACUAUAGGUACUACAAUUUCACGAGCUAAUCGAUUGGGUUGACAUCUUUCCAACAGUCCACUCCGACAGAAUGACCCAAUUUUGUUAGAACUCCUAAAUUCCUAAAUAUACAUAAGAUUCCUUGUGGGAAGGAGCAACAAUCUUGAAGCCAGCAAGCCAUUUGCUGCAUCUACACACUCAAAGAUCUAAUCCAAUCCUCCUGCAUUGCAACCCAGGCAACUGGAACGCUAUCACAACAACUGAAUCGCUAAGAUGUCGAACCCAAGCACCGACAAGAAAAAAAAAAACAAGAACCCCCCACCAAAACCCUCUCAAAACCCCAUGAAAUCCGUAACGGAAAUCCACGAAAACAAGAAACGCAACCUCGCGCCUACUCCCAAAACCAAGAAACCCCAGGAACCUUCGUUUCGCGCGGAGAUCGCCGCGGUAGCAACAGGAAACAGAGCAGCGCUGCGUGUAGGGACAGCUGUGUGUGUGUGUGUGGGGGGGGGGGGGGGGGGGGGGCAAUGGCGGCAGGGUGGCCUCACCUUGGGGCCGCCCGGGGCUAGGGUUCUUGCUUCCUCUUUGGCCCUCGAACUCUCACGAGGGAGGGGGGCUUCUGCAACCGCGGGGUGCGCGAGCGCUGACGGCCGCCGAAAGAGUGGAGAGAGAAAACGGCGGACGAAGGUUUGACAGGGAGGAAAGGGAAAAGGGCGGAAAACGGUGUGAAAAGGGAAGGAAAUUGAGACUUCGAAAGGGCCCCCAAAAAAGGAACCAAUUAAGGGUGAAAAUAAUAUUUCUGAAGAUUAGUAAAAUGGAGCACUACCUCUAAUCGGUAUUACUUGUCUCAAAUUUGUCAAAAUACGGAUGUAUCUAUGUGUAAAAAAUGUCUAGAUGCAUGUAAUAUUUCGACAAGUAAUUCUGACCAGAAGGGGUAGUUUAUUUCUAAUCAUUUUAUUCUUCAUUAUUCUCAUCAUUUUAUUCCUAGUUAGUAAUCGAGCACGUGCGACUAAUAAAAAAUAAAAAAUAAGUACCUGACUAUGAAAUACAUUAGAAUAUAGUUUAUCAUAUUUAGAAGGCAGAGAUAAAUUUCUAAUUAAACAUACAAAUGCAUAAUUAUAAGUUGUCCAUGGAUAGAAAAAUCUUCACAUAAAAUGAAAAUAGGCAGGUCGGCAAUAUGAUAUGACAAGUACAUACUCAUCUUGUAAAACUAUAUCCUGUCGGCGUGGGGUCAUGGCCUCACUGACCACCCUGUGGACAUCAAUAUCGAAAAAAUUCAGAACCAAGGGAGCCAUGGACACCGAUAUCGAAAAAAUCAAAGGCAGUUUAGGAGAUGACAUCAAUGGAGGUGGCGACGGUGAUUGAUAGCAACUGGGUCUUGGAGGACUGGAGGUGGCGGCGAGAUGAGAGGCAAAUUAAAGGCAAGAGUGCUUAGGCAAAUCUUACAAUAAUGUGUCUCUUUGCUUCAUGUCCUCUCUAAUCUCUGGUUGUCCGAGGAGAGAUUAUUUGAGAAUUUAUGUUUGGUUUUCAAUGAAUCACUUUCACUUUGGGGGUUGGCAGCUUUCCUGUACGGUUAGGCGUGGGAGACUUCAUCUCUUUUUCUCAAAAAAGAGAGAUCUCUGCAUCGAAAUAAUGCACACAACCAUCUUAUUGCUUAGUUAAAGUAGCCAAACAAACUAAUUCGCGAUAACGCAACAUGGAUAUAAAAUAAUCCAAAAAAGAAUCUAUGGAAACAAAAAUAAGUUUAAAAAUGUGGAUACAAUUCAUGAGGCAAACACUCCAACUUCGUAUUUCACAAACAUAGUAUUCCUUCCGAUUCAUGAUUAGCGUCUCGGAUUUUUUAUAAAGAUAUACAAAUCUGAACAGAUCGGAGGGAACACUGCCGUUCGCUGGUGAGACGCUGCGCGCACGCACUACCAUUCGCUGGUCGUACGGUGAAUAGGGGCGGUGGAAGCUGAGCCAAUCCCGUGACGUCUGAUGCAACACACUCGUAGUCAUUGCCGCGUACGUACAGAGGGAGGGAUCACGAGCACAUACAGGGAGUUUAUUCUGUCUGUGUGCAUGCUUGUCUGAACCGAAAACCUGGACACCACAACCGGACGAACACUUGGUGAUUUUAUAGCAUGCCUUGCAGUUGCAGGCAGUAAUUAAUGUUCUUCUCCUGUUCUUUACCGCCGUUCAAGGCUACCAAUUUCAUCACUGACAGACUGACAGUAUAUAUAGAAGCUGGCAUUUCUCACGUUACAAUCCGUACGUAUAAUUUCUGUAUAGUCAUCCCCUAUCGACCACUUGGUGGACGCAGCAUUUGCUUAGUCAUUAUUAAUCCAAGAAUCAUCACGAGCUAGCUUCUUCCCCGGCGGCGAUCGACAUUGAUACCCGCCAAGUACUAACCGCUCAGCUUCAGCAAGCCCCGGGUGCGAAGCCGACGACCUUCUUGGAGACGUCGUAGAGCACCCCGUAAGUCCUCUGCUGCGUGUUCCCAACGAUCCCCACGCUCUCGUCGUCGCCGUUGGACGCGAAGCCGAGGCACACCUGCGACUGGCUGAUGGCGUAGACGAUCCCGGACGCGUCGAGGUCGAGGCACGCGCCGCCCUGGAACACGAGCGACACGGUCGGCAGCGACACCUGGCUGAGCCCCGUGAAGUCGUAGCAGGUGUCGAGGAUGGAGUACGCCGCCGCCUUCUUGUACCCGCUGGCUGCCAUGGCCGCCGCGAACGCCGACGACAGCGCGGCGUAGGCGGUGUCGGGAAGCCGCGUGAUCACGGUGCCGGAGUCCACGAGCGUGCCGGAGUUGGAGAAGACGGACUCCGGGAUGGCCCCCAGCUGCUUCCCUCCCACGCGGAUCCCCGUAAGGCCCACGUAGUAGAACGUGGGCCCUUUGUCCGUCAGCAUCGGCGUCGUCUUCGCGUUGCUGCCGGAAGACGAAGGCGAUAACGGGCCGAAUUCCAGGUAGCCCGUGGCCGCGGAGGACGCCGGGAGGCAGUAGGAGAAGGAGCCGCCGUAUUUCUCGUAGGCCUGCACCGUGAUCGAGGUCGGCCCACGGCCCAGCCCGAGGAGGCCCGCCGUCUGCCCGAAAAGCCCGCGGUUCUUCUCGCCGCACCCGAACUUGAACCCCUUGAUGGCGUCCUGCGCCACGGCGAGAGUGUCCUUGGCGAAGAAGCCGACGGUGUAGGAGCCGUCGCCGUACUGGAUGCCGUAGAGGCAGUGGCCGGCGUUGCAGCCGCUGGCGUCGAGGUCGGCGCAGGCCGGGUCGGCGCAGGAGACGUUGGCGUAGGUGGAGGAUUUUGCCGGGUCGAAGAGGCGGUCCUUCUGCUUGUAGCAGGACACCACGCACGGCCGGCACUGCACCCACGUCGUGUCGCUCCCCGUGUCGAACACCACCGUGAACCGCGACGGCGGCGUGCCCAGCCCGAUGGGCACCACGUAGUUGGCCGUGCCCAGGGAGAGCCCCGACGACGCCGGGACCGAUGAGGACGACGACGAUGACGACGCGGGAACCGAGGAGUGCCCGGGGGUUUUCUUCUUCGUCCGUGGUUUGCCGCCCAGGCCGGUGGUCGUCGAGGACACACGGUGAUGGAGCGACUCCACGCGGUUCUGGUCGGCAGCCAGGAUCUCCGCGUGGGACGGCGGCUUCCCGGCGUGCGCGCCGGCCAGUGGUGAGCACGGGCCGUGCCGGUGGACGAUCGGCACCCUUGCUGCUGACGACGUCGCAGUGAUGGGUUUCCGCUCUGAAUUUUCAGGGGCACAUGUUCGAAUUUACUUUGGAAUCACAAAGCUAAUUAAGCUAGCUUAAACUCAGAAAAUCAAGUAAGAUGUUUUUGAGUAACAGUACCAACCAGAACCGUCCUUCUCAGAUGGUAUGGCCGAAAUUUUUGUAACGAGUGGCUAGCUGUUGUCAGCUUAUCAGUAACUCACUAUACUAUGCUUGGCCAUGUUCGACCAGACAAAGGACCGGCAGUGCAAGACAGCACAGGUCGCUUCAGUCCUACUACUCUGUUGCGUUACCUGUUUCUACUGAAAUACUCUACUACUGUAAUUCAUCAAACACAGGGAAGACACAAAGGGUGUGUUUGGACUGUGGUCAAACCAUACUACUAGCAAUAUUUCGGCCACAGCCUAAAAGUUAGUUUUUUCUUAUUUGGUUUGUUGCGAAAACUUUGGCAAACCAAACCAAUGACUCUUUGUCUAAUCUAGUUUACUAUUGUUAGCAAUGUUGGUCAACUUUUAGACAAACAAAACCAUAACCAAAUUUUGGUACUGUACCUAAAAUUAACAGAGAACCCCACAGAAUCCAAAACUAGAGAAAUCAAAUCCUAAGCGGCGAUAAGAAGUUAGCAAGGCAUGCACAGAAAGAAAGAAAGAAAGAAAGAACACAAUAAUUCAGGCAUGGCCGUAUGCAUCUAGCUAUAGCCGUAUGGUAUGACUGAAGAACCCGAUCACGAAAUAACCUUGUGUCGACGUGCACGACGACGGUCCAGGGAACAGCGAAUCCACGCGCAGAAGCACACGAUCGGCAGAGCUUCCCGCGGCAGGAGCUGCAGCCCCGACGAGCGUGGCGGCGGCGAUGACCAGGUGCAUCAUCAGGAGGAGUAAGCAGCACCGAGAAGAAGAAGCAGAACCGGCAGUGGCCAUGGCACGAACGCACAACACAAGUGGCCUUGGCCGUAAGUGGGGCGGCUCUAUCAGGCUGCCGCCCUGGUGAGUGGAGGGAACACGAAGAAGGAACGACCGAUCGCAUAGCUCCUAUCCGCGGCGUGCGUGUUAUAUACAGGAGCUAGCAGUAGAGCGCCCAGCUGGAGCUGAGAUGACCACUGACAAGUAGAGCACUGGCUGGUGGUCUCCUUCCGUGCGUGGCUCGGGGUUUUUGCACUUGCACUGAUUGACUGAUCGUGUGUCUGCUGGUGCUGCUGGAUGGUACGGAGGCUUUGGCAAUUGGCAAAUUGGCAUUGGCACCACGGAAUGAACUGAAUCGUGCAUCUCUCUGUCCUGACAGAUUCUGGGACUGGCGCUUCUCGCACAGAGAAGCGCAAGUACUGUAGAAGCCUGGUCUUUGAACCGGCCAGGUGCACUGACCGAACGUACGACAGGCAAGCUGGCCUCGCGGCCGGUAAAUCAUACAGUAAAAUACAGAUUUCGCUCCUGAAUACUACUGGUAAUCUGGUAAUACAUGCUAGAGGCCACGAGUAAUUGCUACGGUGAACGGCCGUACAACAGUGACUCUUUUGUAGUGAGCGGUAUCCACUUUACGAGUAUAUAUUUUUCGACAAAGACGUCAGGGCUCUACUCGACAAACGUUCCCAUCUGCUGCACUGUAAGGCAGGCCUCCGAUAUUUGUCGCGACUGUUUUAUAAAUCCAGACAUGAUAAGUUGCGCUAGCGUGUAAGCUUAAGAUGCAUAGGCUUCGCCAUCCACGCAAUUGGAACGACGCUACGUUAGUAGUCUGCGUCGUUAAUUGGGACCAGCACACACAACAACAUCAGGCACGUCCCAUCUUACAGCAACAUCAUCCAAUUCCAAAGAACCGUGACGAGAGUUCAGACCAUUCGUUGACCAAUCCAACCUUACCGGGGUUGAAUAAUCCUGCUAACUGUACAUUGCAAUAAAUUGGCUCUCCUCAAGUGGAUAUGCAGAUGCGGGCACACAACAGCAGAAGAAGCUAGCGUCUACGCCUCUCCUCGAUCGAUCUCCGGCCCGUGAAGUUGCUUUGGACGUUUGGUUACAUCGAUCGAUCUAUCAUGGAAUGAGCUGAUCAACGAUCAAUUUACAUUCUCUUCACUCGUAACCACUGUGGUUCCCUCCAUUUUGGAUGCAACGUACGGUCAGUGUUGGCCUGCCGGACCCUCGACUCGAUUAUAUUCAGCUAGUUUGCCACUCAUAUAUCACUUGCACUACUUGCUCGGUUGCUUGCGUUUUCAAAUCUCUGUUUGGACCGUAAUACCGUCUCUCGUUUUUUUUUUCCAAAAGGGGCGGAAGCCCCGGCCUCCCUCAUCGAAACGAUGCACUGGUUAGGCUCGAACCCACUAUACAACACAUAUUCUCGGUCAGAUCGUGGCCCGCCGGUCAAAAUGCACGUACGCCAAUAUCUGUGUUCGAGAGAGUAUGUGUUCACGUACGCAAGUGCUCAAUUAUGUGGCGCAAUCUGCACAUGUUAGUAAUGGAUUGGUUGAUGGAUGCAUGCAUCGCUUCUUCAUCGUGGGUGGCCUGUGCUGUGUACGUCACUUAAUCACCUUUCUGUUUCGUGGGCACGUUGCCGCGCGUGACCCCUGCUGCGAACACGGCGUGCAUCUGCGAAUUUGUGUAUACGAAAUAAUAAACGACCAAACAUGUACUAGCUGGAUUAACCUUGUGUGUAUGUUAUGAGAUUUCUUAACGUACGAUGGCCGGAGACACCCCUCACAAGUUUUAGGGGUUUUCAUGGGCCGAGCCCAUCUAAAAUCCUGAUCUAAUUUGCCACGUCAGCAAUUCCGGGUUAACCAAACGGCUAAUCUCAAGUUAGGAGAUUCAACCGGGACUAAUUAGUUCAGGAGCCGAAAACCCGGGAUUAGAAGAUUCCGACGAAUCUUACGAGUUCAGUUUAAAAAUGACUUUUCUCCUGCUGAAAUGGUGGCAAGAUUGACGCGUACAUUACAAGAGUCCGGACCAGGCACACCCGGGCCGGCCAACCGAACAACGACUCCCUACGUGCCCUCGUGCCGUCGCGGCCCACCCGAGUUGCCACAUUGCAGCUGCACAGGCCGCUGCUGCCAUCUCUCAAAAAAAAAAGCCCGCUGCUGCCGAGCGAGCCGACACCGCGCGAGAAGACCGGCGGCCGAAGGAAAGCACCACGCAAGCGCGCUGCCGGCGCACACACUAGCUCAGAGACUAGACUAGACCAGUCAAGAGACCGUGCUACGGACUAAGAGAGAAAAUUAUAAAGGCAUCAAUUAAAAGUUUUUUUCUUGCAAAUGUGUGCCAAGCAAAACACAUUACCACAUGGCAUAAAAUCGUAAGUUUUUUUUCUUUUCUCAGUCAAACUUUAAAAAGUUUGAUUUAACACAAAGUUAGAACUUCUUACAUUUAGGAAUGAAGAUAGUAUUUAACGAGCUCAUUCAAAAUCUUCUAAACAAAACAAGAGAAACUAUAUGCAGAGCAUGUAUGUCAACAUUGAGAUUUGAAAUGUUAUUCACCACAGGAACUUUUGAACUCUUAUUAAAAAAGCAUUUGCCAUAUGAUGGAGGCACCUUUGAGGCUUCGGCCAUAGGAUCAGUAACCUUGGUAAGUCUAGUAACCUUCUCAAGUUUAGUUAAUUGAAUCAGCAGGAAUGCUAGUGAGACAUAAAGACCAAACAACAGGGUCAAGAUAUUCUGCUCUGUAUACUCUGCCUCCAGGUACUGUAGACACAAACAUUUAUACAUUUUGAGCAAAUGUGUUUGAAGCUAGCCUCUCCUUCCAUGCAUCCGUUUUAGCACCCUGAAAAAAAAAAGGCAAGAGUUGUAAAUUUACAUCUCCGUUAAGAACUUAAGGUGCCAAGCAGAAGUUCAGACUUCAAUCUUUCAGUUUGGAACAACGGUACAUAAAAUUGAAAAAAUGAAGCAUUUAAAGAAUUCCAUAGCCUGACCAAACUGUUCACAAUUUGUAUUAUAAUGUUAUUGCUUGAUUAAAUCUAAUCAGAAGGGUCACUGGGUCAGGCAUUUAAAAAUAUAAAAACAUCCAUGUCAGCUAAAUCAUAGAUAAGGACAGCUCAUAAUUUCCAAUGUAGUAAUAAAAAAUUUAUCUUCUAUGCAAUAGCAAUAAAGAGUAAUGCUGAGUGCUGGCAAGAAGAAUAAGUGCCUGAAGUCUGAUGGCCUGAAUACACAGACAAGUUUUUUUGCUAUUUAACCUACAUAACCUAUAUAUCCUCUGAAAUAAAAUCAUCUGUGCUGAACAUCAGUUCGGUCAUUGAAGCCCAUGUAUACCUCCAAUUCCUUGACAAGAGGCAAGUUCGGAUGGCUUCAUUUAUUGGGAGACAGCAAAGGAUUUUGUCUUUGAGAGCCUCUGGUAGAUUCACAUAUCUUCUUCAGGAAAUAUCCAUGGUCCAUUUGGUACACUUAUUUAGAUGCAAGAAAAUGCUUAUUUACCUUGUCGACCAGUAGUUUUUUGCUGCUAUUAUAUAUUGGAACCAGGGCAAGAGUACAAUAUGUAGAUGCAAGGUUCUCAGUUCCUACCCUUCUUUUAGCUCUUCCAAUUCCCAUGUAACUGAAAUUAUCUACUGCAGAUAGGCACAAUUGUACAAUGGAAAAUGUUCUUAUCUUGUAACUGAAAUUGGCCCUUCCAAUUCCACCAUGGAAAAUGAAAAAUUGACACAGAUAGGUAUGAUAAUCCAUAACCCAUAUCAGUUCUACUAAUUAAAUUAGCUUACCUUAAUUUGGAAGCCUGUCUUUCCUGGAUGCAGAUAGGGCAAAUGUUCUUUCUUGUCAUGGUCAAUAAUUGAAUAAGGUAGCAACCUUCACAACAGAGUUUACAGGUCAGAAGCUGUGCCUUCAUACAAUGAUACGUAACAUUGAAGUGAUUGCUUACUGAGACACAAUAGCACCCCUCCCCCUGCUAUGUGAAUUGCUUUUUCUAUCCAGGCUAUGCUAAUCACAAAGUACAACAAGAUUAAAGAAUUAAGAUAUGACUGCUUGCUAGAUGUUGUUACACCUAAUUCACCCCAAACUCUGGCACAAUCCAAAUUCAUUGAUCAAAAUUGUUUUAAAGUUGUCUACAGGUGAGUAGAUCAUCUCAACAGAUGAUCAAUUCAGUUCUACUAAUUAAAUUGUUUUAAAAUUGCUUGCUAGAUGUUGUAACUGUUAACAAACUGCAGUAAGAAACUGCUGUAUCUGGCUUUACCCACACAAAAAAAGAGGGUACUGUAAAAGGUUAUGCUACAAAAACCAAUCGAGUGAAAAGGUAAAUGGUUUAUGUUCUGAGAUAUCAUGUGUACUACUGAAUCAGCGAUUUACAAAAUUUUCAUAUCAAAAUUAUUUGGUUUGUACUAAUAACUGCGGUAUACAUUGAUGAGAAGCUAUGUGUACAAUCACCAUAGCAAAUACUAAAAAAAUUAAAAAAAUUGGACAGAGUAUUCCCUGAUGUAAACCACAAGUGUAGUAAUGUUCAAGUAUAUCAACGAACUCUUCAAUAUCAUCCUGGUUAUCACAACAGUGGUCUAUACAAAAUAAUAUGAUUCAACUUGCUUAGCUAGAUCUAUUCCUUGAAAGAUGACUUUUUUUCAAUGGUUAUCACAAUUUGGAGUUCCUCUUAAUCAGAGUUAUGAAUAGCGGUGGAUGAUUUCAGCAUAAACCAUAUUGCUCCAAAUGUCUAUCCAUCUCUAGAGACAUAUCUGAUGUAUUUGAUCCUACGACUUUCAAAGAACCAGGUAGAAGCCUAGAACCGAUAUAAUUAGUACACUACUGCAUGUGCAAGACCACAAAUUUCAGAGUUUGGAAAAAUUCAGAGCGCAUAGCAACACUUGGACUGAAUCUACACACACAAUUCUUGCUAUUCUAAACUCCAAUUAACCUGCAGGAUGGUGAGGAUUAGAUUUGAUACCUUGUUGCUGUCCUAGGGUUCAAGAGGAGGGAGAGGGAGGGGCGUUGUGGGAGGUAAGAGCCUAAGAGGCCAUAGCCGGUAGAGGUGCCAUGGGAAGGUAAGGGAGGUGCGAAGGAAGGGGAGGAGGCACCACGGAGGAGCGGAAUGUUGCACAGUCAGAAGAUUACCUGCAACGCUCAUCGUUAUCGAGGUCUCCGCCGCGCUCCCGCUCCUGCUCGUCGCCCUUCAGGCUCGACUGCGUGCUUGGUGAAAAAAGAAGCGGGUGGCAGGGUACGAAGGGCGCGGCCUCCGCACGGAGACCUCGCGGAGCUGGUCCCUAUAUCUGGAGAGAGGCUGUACGCGAGCUUCUCCUCGCUACGCCGCCGGCCGCCGGAGCCGCCUAAUCGUCUUCGGCGCAAAUCCGCAUGGGAUGACCGAGGGGCCUGCUUGCCACCGGCGCCGGCCGCCUUUGCCGCCAGAGGCGCCUAACCAUCUUCGCCUUGAUCUGUGGAAGGGGAGGAAGCGGGCGGCGGCGAGGAGCGAGGAGGAGGCUGAACUGGCCAAUAGUCGCGGAGGAAGAAGCAAAGCUGGAGAUAAUUGCGGGAUUCAUUAUUUUAUUUUGCUGUUCGAGGAAAUCUCGGGAUUUUGUGCGUGCGGUGGCAAGGACGCAGACGUGGAAUAUGGAGUGCGCGAGGAGGAGAUGGAAUCCAGCCGGUGGCCGCGGUCGUCGGCAAGGCAGCUGCCGCGCGAGGCCGAUUCCUUCCUUAGCCAAACGCAGACACUGCUGUCGUGGUCCGGCGGUCACGCGGCUUAUUCGUCAAAACUAUGCCCGGCUAUCGGGCCGGGCUUUUGGAAAAAGCACAUAAGUCCGGCGGAUUAAGCCCGACAGUGCCAGGCCCGGCACAGAUUUAAUCGGGCCGGGCCACGGCCCGGCAGGUGCCGCACUCGCGCCUCAGCGUCAAGCCCUCGGGCUGGCACGGCCCCGGCCCGCUCAGUGAUUUUUAAAAAAAAUAUAAUUAAACUACCUCUCCUUCAACCACUCCGCUUGCUAGCCACUGGGCGACGCUCACAGUUCUGUUUAAUACACAACCCGAAUGCUUUUUGAUAGUUUUGGGUUGCUGCCAUGAGAUAAAAAGGCCACCGGCCAGGUGCUUUUUUAGGCCCGUGGGGCUUACCGGGCCGGGGCCGGCCCGAGUCGUGCCUGGUGCCGUGCCUGGGCCGCGGGGUUGCCUUAAGGUGCCGGCCCGGCCCGACCCCUCUAAUGCCGGGCUUCGUUGGACCAUGCCCGGGCCAGGCCCGUUUAUCCCGAGCCGUGCAGGAGCCGAACCGGCCCGGCCCGAUAGCCACCUAUUGUCAAAACCAACCCAGACACAACCUAUCUUCCCCUCUCCGCGUCGAAACAUCUUUCUUUCCCCUCUCCGAAGAAAGCACCAAACCCCAUGGGAAAUAAUGCCGAGGAUUAGAAUCCUGCAAAUUAAAGGACGUCCAUAGGAAAAAAAAUUCAUAGGAAUGCAAUCUUUCAAAAAUCCUAUGAAAAUCCCAUGAAUCAACGGAGCCCUAUGAGUUCAUAUACACCUGUUGGGAGUAAGAUGAUUGAGAAUGAAACUGUGAUAGCUACCUCUGUCCUUUGGAUUUUGGAGCAAGAUGCUGUUGGGGAUGAGUUUUAUUAUAGCUGGGGAUUGAGCAACAUGCAGUAGUUUAAGCCGUUUGGGACUAGGCACAUCCGUGCCCGUGCCAUGCCGGCCCACCCGAGUUCCAACCCACCAACCCCGCUCGGCUAAAUUGCCGUUGCAUAGCCCACUGCUGCCAAGCAACACGAGACCGCCUGGCGGCCUGGGCCGCACCGCGCGAGAGACGGCGCCGACCGCCGAGGCGCGAGUAGACCGGCGGCCGAAGGAAAGCACCACGUGCCCCGCCCCCCACGCGAGCACGCUGCCGGCGCACACGGCACACACUAGCUAGAGACUCGAUACUCUACUCUAGAGUGCACGAGGAGGAGAUGGAAUCCAGCCGGUGGCCGCAGUCGGCGGCAAGGCUGCUGGCGCGCGAGGCCGAUUCCUUCCUUGCUGCUCGCUCGCCUUUUCCCCUUUUACCGCGCGCCACCUUACUACCUCACCCUCCUACCCCCGCCAUGGUUUCCAACCCGCGGCAGCAGCAGCAUUGGAUCGAGGAAGAGAAGUUGGCAGAAACGGAGACAGCGAUCGCAGCCGGGGCUGUGCGGCGUGAAGAAUGGCACGCAACUGCCGGCAAACAUACCGCCAGCGCCGGACACGCCAGGUUGCGGGCAAGCAGGGCUCAUAUAAUUAGUCUUCGGAGAAUUAGCGUUCAUUUUGGACGAGGUGAGACAACUAGAUACCAAAUUGUCACAUCCUAAGGCAGUGGCGGAACCCUAAAAUACAUGACGGAGCCGCAGCCAGGAGCAGGGAAGAAGAAUCGUAGGAAAAACUAAUUUAUUUCAUCGAUCACUCACACAUCAAAAGCUCGACACCCUUUAAGCCCACCACCUUUCUACUCCUGCGCCACCACGGCCUGGCUACAGCCCACACGCACACACACCUAAACACAACAACGAUACUGGACAGGCUCAGCUAUCCCAACGAAUUGUUUAGACAAAACUCAUACAUAACAAUAACACAGUACAGACUACUCAUAUGCACCUUCAAGUGUGACACCCCGGGCUUCAGAGAAUCGUGCAGCUGCUGGACGUCAAAGCCGCUGCGGCAUCGGCCGAGCUCCCGGCGACGUACGCCGCCAUCCCCGUCGUAGUCGUUGAAGCCGAACGACACCAGUGGUGGCCCGUCGUAGUAUACGCCAGGCGCCGCCACCGCGUCAUAGUAUCCCGAUGCCAGUGCCCAUGCCGUCGGCGAAGGAAGCACGAAGUAGGCAGCUAAAGCGCCGGUGGAGGAGGCACGAAGGGCGCCGGCGGAGCUGAGCUGCAGCGGUGGAGCCUUCCACUUUCCCUUCACGCGGCUGCAGAUGUACAUCACGAUGGCAACUAGUGGUAUACUGGUAUUUUGGAAUCUUAGGUCUCACAUAGUGGUAUGCUGUCAAUUUUCUCCACUGCUUAAUACUAGCAACUAGUCAUCUCAUUACAAAACAUAUUAUGUGGUGCUCGCCAGUCUUCAGAGAAUACUAAAGGAAGGAGACGGGGCCCCCUACCCCCUCGCGCCCAACUAUCAUAUUUAGGGGCACGGGGCCUGCCCCCCGGCCCAACUAUUAUAUUUAAACUCCUAGUCACGUCAUUACAAAACAUCUUAUCUCUCUAAUUUCAGGGGGGUCGGAACUAAACUACCGUGAAAAAAUGAUAUACCGCGCCAUUUCUCCAAUAUAGAAAACACGGGGCAGUUUGACCAUCAUAAAUUUGGAAAAACAUCACGUCGAUAUUAUUUUGGAAGAUCUCGUGCACGGAUAUAUCGAUUCGCUUUACUUGCGACAAGUUUCACCGUCACACAGUAAAUUUGGAAAACCUUUCCAUCAAAAUUGUACUCCUUCCGUCCGAUAUUAAGUGACUCAAAUUAUCCAAAUAUGGAUGUAUCUAUAUGCAUCAGAACACGCAUCCCGCCCAGCAGCUUGCCAUCUUGAAUAUUGGGUUCCUGAGCCACACAUGCAGUUUCAGAAGAUCCAGUGGUCUGAUCUGGCAGUUCUCUGACCGCAAUCCCUUGGGAAUAUUUCUGGCUAGCCUUAGAAUUACCAGGACAGGCUUGGUAUGGAUACUGUGCAGGUGAGACCUGUAUGUCUGUCAUGAUCCUGAGAAUCUUCAGAUCAGCCAAGCAGACAAGUCUGCAUGGAGCCUGAUUCUUGAUUUUCCACAAGCUCGCAAUCUCUCUGGAUUUUCUAUGCAUCACAAACGAUUUGUUGUGGUAUUUUAUACUCAAGAUUUCAGUUCUUUCUUUUGUCUAAUUAAUUUAAUAAUGUGCAACAAUGGUUAUGUUGAGUAAGAGCUUUUGUUGCGGCGCCAACGGCGGUGGAACCUAACGGCUCUGUCGCUUUGCCUUCACGCGGUUCCAGAUGUACAACAUGAUAAAGACGACGGGCAGAAACGGAGACAGCGAUCGCAGCCGGGGCGGUGCGGCGUGAAGAAUGGCGCGCAACUGCUGGCGGACAUACCGCCAGCGCCGGACACGCCAGGUGGCGGGCAAGCAGGGCUCAUAUAAGUACAAAACAUCUUAUGUGGUGCUCGCCAGUCUUCAGAGAAUUAGCGUUCAUUUUGUGCGAGGUGAGACAACUAGAUACCAAAUUGUCACACCCUAAGGUAGUGGCGGAACCCUAAAAUACACGACGGAGCCGCAGCCAGGAGCAAGGAAGAAGAAUUGUAGGAAAAACUAAUUUAUUUCAUCGAUAACUCACACACCAAAAGCUUGAUACCCUUUAAGCCCACCUCCUUUCUACUCCUGCGCCACCACGGCCUGGCUACAACCCACACACACACACACACACACCUAAACACAACAACAAUACUGGACAAGCUCAGCUAUCCCAACGAAUUGUUUAGACAAAACUCAUACAGAACAAUAACACAGUACAGACUACUCAUAUGCACCUUCAGGUAUGACACUCCGGGCUUCAGAGAAUCGUGCAGCAGCUGGGCGUCAAAGCCGCUGCGGCAUUGGCCGAGCUCCUGACGACGUACGCCGCCACCCCCACGUCGCCAUCCCCGCCGUAGUCGUUGAAGCCGAACGACACCGGUGGUGGCCCGUCGUAGUAUACGCCAGGCGCCGCCGCCGCGUCAUAGUAUCCCGAUGCCGGUGCCCAUGCCUCCGGCGGAGGAACCACGAAGUAGGCAGCUAAGGCGUCGGUGGAGGAGGCACAAAGGGCGCCGGCGGAGCUGAGCUGCAGCGGCAGCAAUGCGGCGCCGACGGCAGUGGAGCCUUCCACUUUCCCUUGACACGGCUCCAGAUGUACAUCACGACGAAGACGACGGUGAGAGCAACGGAAAUGGCGAGCGCAACCGGACCUGUGCAGCGUGAAGAAGAAUUGCGUGCAGUCGCUGUCACUGGACAGAACCGAUUUUGUGCACAUGACCACCACCUUCUAAACUUUUUUUUCUUUCUAAAAACCCGAUUUUGGGGCUAGCACUAAUUUUACAGUUGAGAGCACAUCGACAUGUACUGUUUGAACACUCAAAUAUUUAUAUUAUCUGAUCAUUUUUCAUAUCAACAUUUCUAACUCCACCAUACUCCACGGCAGAGCUAUGUGCAGCUUGGAUUGGGGGGGGGGGGGCUUGCACCCCCCCUAUUUUGACCAAUCAUUGAAAAAAAUAGUGACAUAUAUGUAUGUCAAUAGAGCUAUUUGCUUGAGAAUGGUUUUUUAUGCUUGUACAGGUAACGGCUUGUACUAUCCCACGGAUGUCUGUCCUGUCCCAGGAAUCCGUUAAGACGUGCCACGCAACAACCUAGUUGACAGGUAGCUGGGCGUGCCCAUGAGGCUACUGACGCGCAGGCACACGCAGCUGACCCUACUCGCCGCUACGACCCCGCUUAAAACUAGCCCAGCAGGGUCACGCAAACCCCCAUGGCCCCACUCGUGAUACACCAUCACGCCCCCUGGGCUCCAGCUCCCCCACUGCCUGAAUCGAAACAGAUGAGACAAGGUGCAACAUCUUCUCCGACGCCGGUCCAAGGUCGGUAGGUGGCCUAGCUCGGGUACAACAUGAAAUUUCUAGGUUGUUCAUGUUUUGUCCCUAAGAGUCAGUUUUAUGUCAUAUAUGGGUUAUUUAUUCUGUAUGCUAUUCCUCUUGUAAAACCAUAUAUUCUUCCAAUAGAAGCCUUAUUGGAAUUCACAUGAUGAGCCCUUUUGUUUUUGUAAACAUAGUCAACAAAUUGACUCUAUAACAAAUUCGAUGACUAUAAUGAUAUAAUUUGCCGUUUCUACUCUUUGUUGUCCGAAAAUGUAAGCUUGCAAAGUUUCGCAUGAAAAAAAGACCGUAAAAAAUGCCCAUUUUGCGAGCGUAUCAUGUGAAAACCUCUAUUUAGUGCAGACUUGAAAACUCUUAAUCAUAUCCAUUGCAACUCGUUUGGCAUCCAUCUUUUCAUUUCAUUUGGUAGAUAUGAAACAUAAUCCAGUUAAUUUUUGAUAGGAUUUCAUUUGGUUGGAUUUGAAUUCGGGUUCAAAAAUCAUGUUUGUGUACCACAUGGAUUUUGUGGAGUGAGAGACAAUUCCAGAUAGGUGAUGACUUUUAGAGAGGAAUUGGGAUUAGUUAUAGUGUGAUUCCAUGAAAUGUGAGAUUGAAUUCAUGUGACCAAUUCCAUGCCAACCAAACAAGUUCAUUUUUGAAAUUCAAAAUGAAUUCUAGAAUUCAAGACUCAAAUGAUGGGCGCCAAACGAGUUGUUAGAUCUUAAAUAAGCGGAUCAGAUGAAAGGUGAAACAUCUAAUCUAUUAUAUCUAAAUAGGGGACCCUCACUACUAACUGCAAGCAUGCCACCUCAACAUGCCCAGCACAAUGUCAUUGAUGACGGGAAAAUGGGGCGUGAAAUACGCGUCCACGUCAUAGAGACAGAUAGUAUAUAAAUUAAAUGCGCAAAUGCGGUAAAUAAAUAAGGGAUCAAACAUUGCAUGAUCUUUAUUUCCAGAACUCUUACAUUUACAUAAAAAUUCUGUUAAUUACAUCUCCGAAGAGAAAACCCCGGAUUAAGAAAUUCCAACGUAUCUAUUACAUGACAUAGCAACACAUGAAUAUUCUAAAACUAUGAAAUAAAACUCCUCGUCGUUGUCGUCGGCGUCGGCAUGCUCGAAGAAUCUUCAAAUUUAUUUAUGAGUAGCAUGGUAAUCAUGCUUCAAAUUUAUGUAUGCUAAUAUAUGAGUAGCAUACUAACUAUGAUUUGUUCAUAUAGUCUUACAUGCUUGGCUGAUCAUGUUUUAUCUCACUUGUACUAGCAUCAGUAGUACGCGGUUAUGUAUAUAUAUAUGUAUAUAUUCGUAUAUAUCUAUCUAUACAUACAUAUAUACAUAUAUCUAUAUAUACAUAUAUAUACACAUAUAUAUAACAUAUGCAUGUAUGGGUGCUAAGUCAUUUUAGUUGAUUAACCAUUAUAUAUUUUAAUUAUAUAAUGAUUAUUCUAAUCAGUUUUUAACAUGGAUAAUUUAUUUAGUUGGCUAAUCAGCUAGCUAAAAUAGCAUCCAAAGUAUUUUUGCAUAUGUGCUGCAUGUGAUUUAUUCGCGCAUGCAUGGAUGUAUAAUUUAUUUGAUAGUGUCACAUAUAUGCAUGUGCACCAUACUAUGUAUAUCGAUUUUAUUCUUGAAACAAAGGUUCAUAAAUAUAGAACCAAAGUAUGCGUGCUUUAUGGAGCACCAUGAUAUAUAUUUUGAUUACCAUUUCCUUUGUGCUGCUACCAGCUAGUGCUAUCAUUGAUUUAACCAACUAAGCAGCAUAUAUGUAUUGUUCACUAUUUUUAUAUAUAGUGAGUUUAUAUGAAAUUUAGUGAUGCACUAUAUUGAGUCUUAGUGCAAAUAACAUAGGGUGUGAUCAUGUUUAUAAUUUAAUUUAUGGAUACAUGCACCUAUAUGAGAGGAGCACAUGGUUUGAUUUUAAUCUUUAUAUGAUUAUAUUAUGACAUGUAAGUUAGAUGCCUACAUGCAUUUGUAUAUUGGUUAUUUGUAGAUGCAUACACCAUAUGAAGGGAGUGCAUGGUUUGAUUUAAUCUAUAUGAGAUUAUGACAUGGCAUUUGUUCUUUGCAGAUGCAGAUAUACACCUAUAUAAAGAUGGUGCAUGGUUUGAUUUUAAUCUAUAUGAGAUUAUAUUAUAGCAUGGUUCUUUGCUGAUACAUACACCUAUAUGGAGAGGGUGCAUGGUUUAAUUUUAAUCUAUAUAAAAUAGAUGCAUACAGCAUAUAUAAAGAGGGUGCAUGGUUCAAUUUAAUCUAUAUGAGACGGAUGCAUACACCUAUAUGAAGAGGGUGCAUGGUCCAGUUUUAAUUUAUAUGAGAUAUCUUGUGGCAUGUAAGACUAGCUUUUUUAUAGCCUUAAAUGAAUGCGCGACUAGAAAUUAGUCAACAUAUUUAUAUGAUUUUAGAUUUCAGUUAUAUGAUGAUUUUUUAUAUAGUCUCAUUUCAUUUGUAUUAAUCCUAACGCCGUGCGACAACAUGCCCACGUACGUGUAGUACAAUUCAUUUAUAUUGAUGCUAGCAUCGUGUGACAAUGUGCCCACAUGCGCAGCAUGAUCAAGAGCAUGUAUGAAGUAUAUAGCAAUUUAUAUGGCUGAUGCAACAUGUGAAGAUUAUCUAUUCAAUUUAGUGACAUGAGACUAAACUGAGCAUAAUUCCGGGUCCUAUGAGAGGUGCUUCUUGACUUGUGACAAUAUGCCCAAGUCAAGAGCCAAAUAUGUAACAACGUAUGAAAAAGUUAAGAAUGAGCAACUUGAUUUGUGACAAUAUGCCCAAAUCAAGAGCAUAAUUCCAAUCCUAUCAUGAAGUGUUUCUUGGCUUGUGACAAUAUGCCCAAGCCAAGAGCCAAAUAUGCAACAAAGAUAUAUAUGCAAAAAUCUAAGAAUAGGCUACUUGAUUUGUGACAAUAUGCCCAAACCAAAUGCAUAAUUCUUGAUCCUAUCAUGAGGUGCUUCUUGACUUGUGACAAUAUGCCCAAGCCAAGAGCCAAAAUAUCAUGCAACAAUCAUGAGAAAAGAUGCAUAAGAGAGACCAAAUAUGAAGUUCUUUGGUUUAUACCGAUCAACCAAGGAACAAAGCCUCACCUUCUCACCUUCUUUGAGAUGUUGAUGUGCGCCUACGAUCUUCCGGCGAGCAAGCGCGGUAUAGCCUCCUGGUGCCUGGGCGUGUGAGAGAACAAGACAGCGGCAGCAGUGUUUCCUUGCGCAUAUACCUGCGCCGAUGCUCUGCUUGUUUAUAUGUGUGGCGGCGGCCGGUGGCAAGCCAUGGGCAAGCUCGAAGGCAGCAGCGCCUUGCAGUAUCUGGCUUCGGCAGCCUUCUGGGUGGAUGGCGAUUCAUUCCAUCGGGUGGACUGGCAGCAGUUGGCCAGCUUUCUUCUAGCCUUCCUCGUCUGUAUUUAUAGAGCAGAGGAGAGGAUCGGCGUUGUGCAAAAAAUCGUGGGCGCAUGCUCACGUUCUCCCGAUCGUGCAGUCUAACGGCUCCAAACUGAAUUUCUUUAAUCCUUUAAUUGUAAUCGUGGGCAUUUGGAUAGGAUUAGACCAAGUCUAAUGGCUGCCAUUAGUUGCUAGCUGCAUGGCGCUCUGCUUUUCCACGAUCGGCUGCUGGCUGCUGCCAAUGUGGGCCAAAGGCAAUAUUUAAGUAUUUGAUUAAUUGGUUGGGCUAAUGCAUGCAGGCCUGCACUUUGUUUAUGGAGACGGGCUGAUUAGCUUUACUUGUUAAUCUCACUAGUACACUUGCAUGCUAAUUAAGAUGGGCCCUGUACGUGAGCCAUGCACCCAGUGUAUAUGUGGGCUGGAUUACCUUGUCGAUGGAGCCGGGUCAUUUUAUUUAGUAGCAUGUGUGCAAGCUGUGUAUUAGCACUUUAAUUGGUCAUUUAGCUGAUUGAGCUUUAAGCUGUGAUAGAGUUUAUGUAAAUACGAUGCCACAACAUAUUUUAGGGUCAUCCGGAGGACGUCGAUCUUUAUCCCAAGGUCUGAUUAAUAUUUUGGAAACAUCGGUGUCAUCCUUGACAGUGUAAAUUUAAUUCAUGUUUAGAACUCCGCCGCUGGUGGCGACAUUUGUUUAUGUGAUAUGUGUGCUUAUAUCGGUGCAUUUAGUUAGCCGAUACACAUAAUUACUUGCCGCUAUUUUAUUUUGCAUUAGACGGAAUUUGCCAUCUAAAAAUAUAUUUUCAUAUAAUUACCAUCUUAUUUAAAGUGCGACGUCAAAAUCGGUGUCAACAGUCAUGUAAAUCAUACCACAUCACCAAGUCAUGCAUGUCUUUUUUUGAAACCAUGUAUUCAUUUUUGCAUUGAUACAUUUAUGCAUUGACCCUCAAUUCAAACAAUGUAAGUUAUCGAUUCAAUCAUGUUUUAUUUUUUGGAAAAAGUUUUAUCUUUUGUACAUCAUUUCAUUAUUUUUAAAUCUAAAACAAGGACAAUUCCCAGUACUUUUAAUUAGUUUUAACCAUAUAUUUAUGCAUUUAUUUUAACACGGUUCGCAGCAACGCGGAGGGCAUCAUUUAGUCACUUAAAUUCUUAGAUCCAUACUAGAGUCUAAAGCUAAACAAAAGGAAUGGUUCUUCGAAAAAACUCACUUGAUAAUAAUUUAUGGAAUCAGUGUAAUGACUCGACACAAUUAUGAGAUGGCCCCUUGUAAAUCUGUAAAUUAUAAAUGCUUAAAUGACCAAUAUGGUGUUAUAUAUCUCUACCUGCACACCUCACUCCUUUGUGGGCUCUCCAUGGAUGGUCGGAAAACAAUGGCGAGAAAGGGCAUAGCAGCAACGAACUCAAUAGCGGGAAACAAAAGUGGAUCAAGAAUUAGGAGAACUAGUUCACUUAAAAUAUUGUGUGCAGCCGUACAUGCAUCUCAUUCCCGAUUGCUUUUGACUACACAUUGCUGUUGCUCAUCUCUAAAUUGCUGCACUAUUUUCUGGGAUGUGCGCUGGUGGAGAGUAUACCUAGGCUAUAGAUGGCAAUGGGUAACCGAAACCCGAUUACCUGACGGGUCUAGACCCGAUUAACAUGCGGGUUUGGAAAAAAUAAGACACGCGGGUCUGUAACGGGAAAUUUUUGGACCCGACGGGUCUGGCAGUGCCUUACCCGAACCCGGUAACCCGAAAACCCGGUUCAGAAUAUGGGCUCCACGUGUCAAUGCAUGGAGUUACUAAAAAUUCGGCCCAGCCCAAUUGCAUAAGCCCAGUCCCAACUCCCGGUCCAACUGAAAACCCUAAUACUCCCCAUCCCGUCCAGACUCCAGACUUCCAGAGACAACUCCCUUCGUUCUCCUCCUGCCCACGAGUCCGCCGCCUCGUGUUCUCUUCCUCUCGCGUCUCUCUCCUGCCCCCACUCCUCGGCGGCCAGCUCCCGUGGGCCAGUCGCCGUGCGGCCGUCUCCUCCGCGGACUGCUCCCCUUCGCCAAGUCCCCAACUCCCCAUCCACCUCCGGCCAGCCAUGGACACCAACUCCCGAUCCAACUAGUGUUUGUGCUGUGCUACUUGCCUACUCGUGAGUACCUGAUGGGGAUGGAUGAACGAUGAUGAAUGUGUGCAGUGUCCUGUGAUGUUCUAUUAGCGCUUGCAGCUUUUAUUUUCGAUUUUCUUAUUUUUGUUCCUCUCCUGACGGUUGUUUAUUCUCGUCUGGUUUGAGCCGAGCACGUUUACAUCUUAUAUUUUUAAUUCUGGUAUGAAUUGCUAUUGUCGUGCUUAUUAUUGAACUGUUGAUUUGCCGGGUCGGGUAUCGAGGACCCGCGUCAGGUCCGGAUCCGGGGAAACUUUAGACCCGGUGCUGGGUCUAAGUACGGGUCCGACUCGCGGGGCGGGUGGCCGGGUCCGGGUCCGAACCUGCCGGGAGCCAUCCGGAACUUGGACAAACCCCAGUCCGGGCUUCGUAAAAGCCCGACGGGCUUAAAUACCGUGGUAUGGCAUUUAAGCAUUAAAAUAAUUAUUUUUAGAAUAAAUAAAUGUAUUUUUAUACCUAUUUUUCCUAAAAUACUUAAUUUAAGUCAUUUCGGGCUUUCGGGCCGGGCUUUCGGGCAAAAAGGUGAAGCCCGGCCUGGCCCGGUAGACAGAGCUUUGGGCCGGGCCAACCAUGCACAGGUAUAGUGCAGAGCAAUCAGCGGCCUCGCAUCCUCUAGACCACAGUAGAGAGAACGGCAGCGCCAUUGUGUUGUGGGACUGCUGGUCUUGCAUCUCAAGUUCAGUAUCAUCCAUACAAAGGUUCACUGGAUCAGCACCCAGAACGUGAACCCCGCCGGCAUGCUCAGGGGCCUCUGCAGAGACAAGGGCAGCAUCCAGCAAACCAGACCACGGGCACGUUGGAGCACCAUGGACCGUCGGGCCGUCGGCUUAGGAGCUGCCGCGUGACGUGGCAGGCCUCGGCCUCUGCGAAGGGGCCUGACUGGCGCUCCUGAAAUAGGCCGACGAACUCCAAGACGUGGAUCAAGUUCGAUGCCAUGGAAACCGACCAGUUUGACCUUUGUCGCGACGAGUUUCGGCUCAUCAGGGGAGACAUCGUGGAGCUCCUCUGCAACGCCACGGAUGACGACCACGAUGCCGAGCGGCGCUGCCUCGUCCUCGACGAGGUCAUGGCCGAAUCGCUCGAGACGCUGCGGCUGGUUCUGGCGAUGCCGACGGGUCUUGCCACCACCGAUCUCGCCAAGGCCGUCGGCGCUCAUCUGCUGAAGCACGACUCGGAGCGAGUUCGCCUCCUCGCCAGGCGGCUGCGCACGGGACGAGACGGCAUGCCGCUCGCGUUCUAUGUCGUCACCCGCGCUCGCGGUUCGUGGCGGAUCCGGUUCGUACGUGGGCACGCACGAGUACGUGGCGCCGGAGGUAGCCAGCGGCGGCGAGCAUAGAGCGUCAGUGGAUUGGUUGGCGUACGGGGUGUUCCUGUACGAGCUGCUGUAUGGGAGGACCCGUUCUUGAGCGGCACCGCGAACGUGAAGGCGUACACCCGUUCUUCAGGGGGGCUCAACUUCGGCGCUGCUCGGGUCUUCGUGUCGCCGCCGGCCGCGCUGCACCAGCACUAUACUGCCAAGAGGUCUUCUCGCAGGACGUGCAGCGGCUGUUCGAUCGAUUCUACUAAUUUGUUUGUUUGUUCAUGGUUUCUUGUUGUGGUUCGGAUGAUCUUUUGAUUGACAAAUUUGUUCCAAACACUCAUCUGCCUUGACAUUUGCGUCAACAAAGCCCUGACCAGUUCCCAGAUGUGAUGCGGGCCAACGAUGUACCCCCAACUUCCUAGUCAAUCACGUGUCACCUUCUUUUUCUUAGCCAUGUUUUUUUUGAGCGAACGGUCAAUCCAAGUAUUCAUUCUUCUCACUCCUUCACUUCCUCCCACACGAGCCAACUCUCCGCGCCACCGCUGGACCGAGGCGCCUCUGCCUCCGUCGCUGGGCCAAGGCUUCUCCGCCGACCUCGUGGUCGGCCUCCGCCGCCGCCUCUGCUGGCCCAUGCGCUUGGAUGCAGCCAUGAGGAAGAAGAUGGAGGUGCGCGCCGGAUUUGAUUGCCGAUUUGUGUGGUCUGAUUUGAUUGCGGGUUUGUACUGUGCUCUUGCUUGCUUUUGGAUCUUGUGAUUUCUUUUCGAACGUUUGUGCUGUGAUUUUUGAGUACCACAAGUACCAUGGAUAGAUAUCAUAUACUUAAGUUUUGAUGAAUGGUACACAUAUACUAAAUUUUGAUGAAUGCUUGUGUUUAUUAUUUUUUCUUUCUUCCUGUUACAUGACGUACAAUUAUGGGUUGAUGUACACAGUAUUUACAUACAAAGUACUAAGUUUUGACGAAUGGUACAUGAGGAGGUACUAAGUUUUGAUGAAUGUGUUUUUUUUCUUGGUACAUAAGAGGUACAUGUGGUGUACUAUAUGAUGUACUCGUCUCAUAAGUUCAUGUACACGAUGUACUUAAAAUCUGAUAAGGUACAUGUCAUCUACCAUAGUGCGGGACAGCUAAUGUUUGGAGACACAAAAUUAGGUUGCACCCCGUCUUCCUUUUGCGAGUGAAUUUCACGGAAACACGGUUAUUGAGAUUUCCUUUUUAGGGAGUCACAGCUUUUGUCAAUUUGUCCGCAGAACCAAAAGUUGUGCGUCUAAUUAUCUCACAUCGCGCAAAAUGAACGUUAGACGAUUUUGAUAGUUUUUCUUAUAAGUGGGUCCCGUCCGUCGGGCGCCACUCUUUUCUAUCGGACCCCUUGCAUUUUUUUUCCCUCGUCCCCUCUUCUUUUUCUACAAAUGGCAGCAACAACAGGACGGGAGGCGCAAGAGGCGGUGCGGGCGUGCGCAUGCGGGCGGCGGUGCGGCAGGCCGCUGAUGGAGCGGCCGCUGCAGGAGUAGUUGACAUAUAACCGCAUGUCUGGGUAGCGGUAGCUCGCGCGUGCAUCGACAGGUAGCUGCGCCAUGGCUGCCGCGCGGCAGUGAGUGGUCUUCCUGGCCGAGAACGAGCUGCGGAGUCCUAAUUAGGUUGCUGGACUAAAAGUUACAAAAAAAGAAGAGAGGACUUGGCUCGUUCUCCGGACGCCAUGGCGGAGUCCUACUUAGGACGCCAUGAAAGUUAAAAAAAAAACCCUUUGAAACCAACUUUUCUAGUUGUGUCAUUCGCAUUUUGAUAUUUAUUCAAGUCUCUGUGACGAAAUAGUAAACGACCAAACAUGUACGAGCUAGACUAACUUUGCGUAUGUUAUGAACCACACGAGCCGCCCCACCUUAAAGGGUGAGAACUUAAGAUUUCUUAACGUACGGUGGCCAGAGACACCUCACAAGUUUUAAUGGUUUUCAUGGGCCGAAGUUGUAAAUGGACCGAGCCCAUUUAAAAUCCUGAUCUAAUGCCAUGUCAGCAAUCCCGGGUUAACCAAGCGGCUAAUCUCAGGUUAGGAGGUUCAACAAGAAUUAAUUAGUUCAGGAGCAAACCCGUGAUUAGAAGUUUAGGGUUCGAUUCCGACAAACAAACAAAUAAUGUACAUUACAUCAGUCUAGGGUUCGAUUCCGACGAAUCGUACCGAGUUCACGUUCAAAAUUGAAUUUUCUCCUGCUGAAAUGGCAAGAUUGACGCGUACAUUUCAGGAGUCAGGACUAGGCACACCCGUGCGGGCCGGCCCUAGCCAACCUAACAACGACUCCCUAUUUGCUCCCCGUCCAGCACGCCCAUGCCGUCGCGGCCCACCCGAGUUCCAAGUCCAACCCACCGCGCCCGGCCCCAUUGCAGCUGCACAGCCCGCUGCUGCCGAGCGAGCCGACACCGCGCGAGACGGCGAAGACCGGCGGCCGAAGGAAAGCACCCACCCACGCCACGCGCCCCGCCGAGCCCCCCACGCGAGCGCGCUGCCGGCGCACACACUAGCUCAGCGACUAGACUAGACUAUAGAGUGCGCGAGGAGGUGAUGGAAUCCAGCCGGUGGCCGCGGUCGGCGGCAAGGCAGCUGCCGCGCGAGGCCGAUUCCUUCCUUGCUGCUCGCUCGCCUUUUCCCCUUUCACCGCGCGCCACCUUACUACCUUACCCUCCUCCUACCCCCGCCAUGGUUACCAACCCGCGGCAGCAGCAGCAGCGGAUCGAGGUUGAGAAGGCAUGGAGGACGCGUCGCUCGAGCACACGCCCACCUGGGUCGUCGCCGCCGUCUGCCUCAGCAUCGUCUCCGUCUCGCUCGCCGCCGAGCGCCUCCUUCACUACCUCGGCAAGGCAUGCCUUCUAAACAUUUUUCCGUAUUAGCUCAGUUUUUUUUUCUUCUUCCGUAUUGCGCUCGUGAGUUAGCUGCAUCGUGGUACCCCCGCAACUGUACCGUACCUUGCUCGAUUUCUGGUGAAAUGUGGGGGUCUAGGUGGAGGGUGGUUAUGGUACAGUUUUGCUCUCCGCUCUGGAACGCACUUGCAGAGGAUCAGAGCACCUUGCUCCUUUCUGCUAUUCGAUUCGCAAGCUCGUGGUGAUAAUGAUGAUAUAUGAUCGUCGUCGCAUUCGAGGGGUUUUCCAACUGCCUUAAUGCUUUGCACCAGAUGUAGCCGAGCUCAAUUGUUUGAAAUAAUUUUACUUGAUCUCUGCAGUAUAUGCGGCAUUUUCUUGGUACUGUACUUAGAACGAACAACUACAUGUCUAUGAAUGAACAAAUGUACUCCUUGAUUAGCUUCAUACAUUCCUUGUUUGGUGUUAGACCGAGAUGAUAUUCAAUCCAGUUUUACAAAAACGAUCUUUUGGCAGCAUCUUAAUGCAUGAACUCCCCGUGAGUAGUCUGCCCAUGCAGAUAAUUUCGACUGUAAGCGACACAUCACACACUAAUAUUUGAUUUUAUUUUGGCAAGGCAUUUCCAAUGUCAGCUAUUCCUCACUAUUGACAGACUCAAAGUAGCUCACCCACUUAUUUCCCUGGUGUUCUCCUGUCCAUUAGCUCUUAUGAGCUAGAUCAUAAAUUAUGUUAUUCGUGUUUUCAGUUACUACCUCUCCGGAAUUAGUUCUCCAAAACGUCAUUUAAUUCGAACAGAGGUAGUACUUGAUUGUCCAGGCUGUUUUGGAUUGGAGGACUUCUAAGGAAGGCAGGAAGCUAACCUUUUUGUAUUAUCCAAUCGAAACUUUAACAUUAAUAAUUCUCGGAAUAAAACUUUAACAGUAAUAAACUUUGAUGUUGCACAUCCAAAGAGCACACAGUCCAUCGUUAAGGUCCCUUAUAAAUUUAAAUACUCAACAACAAAUUUGUCUGUUGGACUUUCUUUUGUAGUCAGUAGUCAACACUCAACACUUAACAGUGCAAAUAAGAGAUGCCAAGGGUUUUCCCCCUCCUACUUAUGCUUUCUUCUAAAAUUGUGCAGGCACUAAAACAUAAGCAGCAGAAAACACUGUAUUCAGCUCUACAGAGACUAAAAGAAGGUAACAUUCAGGAAUACCUGCAAUUGCAUGAACACUUAUCAAUCUGGCAUAUGACCAUGCCUUGGAAUGGUUCAUUUAGUUUGACUCCUCUAGUGACUGCACACUAAAUACGUAGUAUAUCUGUUAUUAAAUUUUAAAAGACUGUAAGGAAACAAUGUAACAGAGUAAAUAACUGAAGGUUACUUGUUGACUUUAGCAAAUGGUAAAUAGGAAACAAGACAAAGGGUUGGCAAUAUUUUUCACAGUUAGAUGAUAUUAGAUUUUUCUUCUGUUUUAUGUGUCUUAUCUGUUUCAAUGGCUACACAUGCAGAGUUAAUGCUUCUUGGAUUUAUCUCCUUUCUCCUGAGUCUCUCUCAGGGUUUAAUUGUUCAUAUUUGCAUACCGGAAACCUACACACUUCUCAUGCUUCCAUGCAAGAAAGUGAAUCACAAGGUUCCAGAAGAAGGUGGCGUACAUUGCAAGAAAAAGGUUAUCAGUGCCAUAUUUCCAAAAACUAAGAUCCUUUUUUUCCUUGUUGAAAGUAGAUACCUGAUUAUUUCAUGAAAGUGGAUGUCUGAUUGUUGGUGCAUUCAUUUAUGAGAUACAGAUCCUUUUAUGCUGGGUGUCAAGGCCUUGUAUCAUUAUCAUAGGAAGCUGUCUUCCCUAAAGGAAGCAGUUUAAGUUGUAGUGUGCAGAAAUAUUAUUAAAUGGUCAUCAUAAAUAUAGGCUUGCUCUGUUUCAGGGUGAUGUUCCCUUGCUUUCGCUAGAGGCAUUGCACCAGCUGCACAUCUUCAUAUUUGUACUUGGCUUCGUCCAUGUUGUUUUCUGCGCUACAACAAUAUUGCUUGGUGGAGCAAAGGUAUGUCUGCAAAUAUAACUUUCUGCUGCAUAUGACCAUGUUUGUGGAUAAGAAACUUAAUCUGGCUAAAUUUUUCUAGAUAAGAAAAUGGAAGCAUUGGGAGACAGGAAUUCACCGAGAAAUACGUCCAAAAAGUUUGUAUUGCCCUAUCCUUGUGUUUUCUUGAUUGAUUUUGAUAAGUACAUGAUGCAGCCACCCUACCUGCAUAAUAUAGUUACAGUAGAUGUGACUGAUGGAGAUAUAUAACUUACUUUGAACAUAUACAACAGAGUACAUAGAGUCGUUUGUGAGUUCUGACUGGUGAGAGCUAUUAAGAAUCCACGUUCACCGUUAAUUUUGAAUUGUGUUCUUAGCCUUGCUGCCCCCUCCCAAGCCUAUGUUCUCACACUUUACGGGGAUCUUGAAGCUGCCCACAUAAGCUUAGUUCUUGCCUACAUCUUGGAGGGCUUGAAGAUGUGUUAAGACAUAAACAUGUAUCAUGACAUCGAUUUGCAUGUGAGCAGGCACCUUUUGAUUUGUCUUAAACUGCAUUAUUAGAAAUUUGUCAACAGGGUACAGCUACAUGCAGAACUUAGAAGUUUUGUACAGAUGCGUAAUUUUACAAGUCCGGCACAAAUGAGUUCUGAAUUAGUCAAUAGUUCAUACAAAUAGUUAAAGCAUGGUCUUACAUGGAUAAAAUAGUACACAACAGCAAAACUCGUGAUUCCACAUGCUGCAUUUUCAUUGCUUGGAAACACUUGCUUUUAUGUCACAUCAUCAGUAGCAAUCUUCAAGAGAAUCUCUUGCUUAAUAAAUGUGAUUAGACAGUCAUGUUAGAAUUAAUUGCCCAUACUAUUUGUCAACUUGGUCUUCACAAGAUUCAACAAAAAACGAACACCUUUUUAAUACUCACUAUUAGCACUGUUGGAGCAAUGCCAAUUUGAGAACCAAGUUCAGCAACUUACAAAUCUCAUGCUUUUGUGUUCCAAAAGACUCAAUAGAUAGCUCAGCAAGAUUCUUUAGGCCCUUAAAGCUUCAUUACUUCGCAUGUCGUUAAUAGUGUUUAGACUUUUAGAAAGUAAGUCUCACCAAGAUAUAUGAGAUGCGAACGCUACACUGGGAGCUAGUGGACUGGGCCAGGGAGGGAGAGGGGGUAUAUAGGUGGGCUGGGCUGUUAAUCUAGGUAAUUUUUGCUAUAUCUUACUCCCUCCGAUCAAUAAAAAGUGUCGCCCAUUUUGUACUAAGUUAGUACAAUUUUGUACUAAGUGGGCGACACUUUUUAUGGAUCGGAGGGAGUACGUAUUGAGCCUCUAUACUACCUAUGGAUAAAUAAUCCUGACAAAAAUAUCAAACUUCUCGGGAAUGCCCGAACAAAGUGCGCACCCCUACUAUAUCAUUCCCAUGUGUCCAUAUCCUGACCUUUGGUCAGAUUCUUCAAAACUUUGCAAUUCAUUUUCCGUCGAUUCUCUUAGUUUAUUUUUGGUUGCUCUCGAUUCCUCAUGGACUGUACAAGGAAACAUCACAAGCAGAAGAGCUAUUUGUAUAUUAAAACAAGUGCAUACUUUACAAUUGGCGGCCAAUUGAGCGUCCAAAUUUGCGUUGACUAUAAUGGUGCCUAUGCACUAUACUCUUCUUAUUCUGCCUUCCUGUUCUAUUAACCAUUCCUAUAUUAAAACAUGUGGAUACUUCACAAAGGGUUGUGUUUUUUUACUCAAUAGGUGUUAGAAAGUUCUGUAUCAAAUAAACAUGCAUAUCUUCUAAUUGGUUAGAAAUACUGGAGUUCAAUAUUUUCAUCCUUAGCUCAUUGAUUUUUUUUUCUUUUACCGGAAAAGUGGCUGCACUACAACAAAGAGAACUUGCAGGAAAUACUACACCAUUGCAUAUUGUGCUACAUCGUGAACAGGGUGAAUUUGUCAGCGAGCGAACAAAGGGAUUUUGGAGGCAGCUGGCUGUCAUAAGCUGGAUUGUAAGCCAUCUUCCAAUUCAGCUAUUUUGAAUGUUCUGUCUGCAUGAUUGAUUGUGUGCAUCCGUCGAUCCAAAUUAUGACUAAUGCAACAUAAGUAUUCGCUGUGGAAGACAUAUUUAUCUCGUUGCAUGCCAUAUCCUUGACUGAUACAUGCCUUCUCACUAUCAUGGCAUGCAAAAGUACGAAAGACAGAAUUGCCAACUUUCAUUAACUGGCCCAGUGUCACUGGAUAAAAUUAUAGGAGAUCACCAUGUCUUAUUUACAUCUAAUGGCAUAUCAAAUGAAUCACAUAUUAAUGGCGUAAGUGUUGGUCAAAGGGUUGUCUUAGCGGAACAAAAUACGCCUUAUAUUUUGGAACGGAGAGAGUAUCACUCAAGGCGCUCCUAUUUUAUGGUAUUUGUGGUGGAUCAAUCAAUACCUUCACAAAGCAUUACUUAUGUUUUCUGAACUGGUUGCUGCAAGACUAUUGAUCUAUUUUCCAAACCUCGUACUCCUUCCGUCCAACAAAAGAUGUCUCAAGUUUGUUAAAAUUUGGAUGUAUCUAGACAUGACUUAGUGUAUAGAUGCAUUCAAAAUUAGUCAAAGUUGAGACAUCCUUUGUUGGACGGAGGAAGUAGUAUUUAUUGCAGUAAUGUAUUAUAUGAAUUGUCUUGGUUUUGUGUGUCACUGUGUCUCUGUAUCUACAACUUACCAUGAAGGUUUGAUUCACACACUGCAGAUUGCAUUCUUAAAGCAGUUUCAUGAUUCUGUGAGUAAAUCAGAUUAUGAAGCGCUUAGAUCAGCAUUUGUCUUGGUAAGUAACCCUGCUCAUUUGUUUCCAUACCUUCUCCGGUCUGCUAUUGAAGCUAAUAUGGUGUUUUCUUUCUUUCUUCCCUUUCAUUCAGAUACACUACCCAAGUCGUCUGGACUUUGAUUUUCACAAGUACAUGAUACGUGCCCUUGAACACGAUUUUAAGAGGGUUGUUGGUAUCAGGUUGCUAUUUUCAUAGUACUUGCGACCUUUUUUUCUUUCGAAAAGGAGGGUAUACCCCCAGCCUCUGCGUUGCACACAACCAUAUAUUAUUGCAAAGUAUUUCAACCUUGACUUGAAUAUAUAGUGGCCUUAUUUUAGUAACUUGUGUGCAGUUGGUACCUGUGGCUGUUUGUCAUCCUUUUCCUUUUGCUCAAUAUAAAUGGUAAGUCUUGCUGAGCCAAUCACCCACUCGGCACAUGUCUUUUUUUUAUUGUUGUGUUUGUGGUACAGGUGUGGGUAGUAGUAUCCAUCAAACCAGAAAUUUACUUAUUGCUCCCACUGCAUGCUUUUAUUUGAAUUCUAACCAUUUGCAUCUGAUAAAUAACUUGAACCGAUCACUUUCACUUUAAUGAAUUAGCAUGCUUUAUAUCGAUUAUCUUGAGGUUCAAUAUAUUGGUGUCAGUCCUCUUGUUUAUGAGGAUAGGUAUCUAAAAGUUUAUCCUUUUUACUGCCAAAUGCAGGAUGGCACACAUACUUUUGGUUAGCUUUCUUGCCUCUGUUUGUAAGUAUUCCUCACUUCAACUAUCCUAUUUUGCAUUUUUCAAUUUUCACUCAAACACGGUGUGAGUAACACGUUGGUGUCAUAUAUGUUUAAUAAAAUUCAGAAUACGUUUUUUUUAAUCCCAAUGAGAACAAUUCCUAACAAUGGAGUAAAUUGCAGCUUCUGCUUGUUGUUGGCGCAAAACUACAGCACAUUAUUACUCGGUUAGCUCAAGAGGCAGCAGCAUCGUUAGCAGAUGAGACAAACCAAAUCCCCAAUAUAAAGCCUUCCAAGGAUCAUUUCUGGUUUGGCAAACCUUCAAUUGUGCUUCAUUUGAUCCAUUUCAUCCUAUUCCAGAACGCCUUCGAGAUUGGUUUUUUCUUCUGGGUCUUGGUAUUAUUCAUGACAUGCUGUCACUUAAACAUUUCAUUAAUAAUAAGACCCUGUAGCUAACAAAUUUAUCCUCCGCAGGUAACAUAUGGGUUUGACUCGUGUAUUAUGGAACAGAAGGCUUAUGCCAUUUCCAGACUUGUUAUCGGGUCAGUAAAAUUUUGAAAUACCUGCAACUCUGAUAUUUGGCCCUCUCAUGUGCACUGGCGCUGAAUAUGUAGAUGCACAGCAAAUCUGUAUUUACAGAUUCUUCGUGAUCUUCUCUUUUGAAAGAUCCAGUUUUCAUUUUGACGGCGGUACAUGUGUUGUCUUUACAGUUUGAUCAUCCAAGUGGUGUGCAGCUACAUCACCCUGCCAUUAUACGCCAUCGUCACUCAUGUAAACUUCCUUAAUAAGUUCCUCCCCCGUUGUGUUUGCUUCCAUUCCACUGCCAAGUCAGAAGAUAAGAUGUUUGACGUGUCGAUUUUGUUGGGCCAGAUGAGCGGAGACAUCAAGCUGCAAGCGCUCGGGUCGGGCCUUCACGAGUCCGUCACGAACUGGGCCUCGGGCGCCCGGAACAAAGGCCGUUCCGACAUGGGCCUCCGGAACUCGCUCACCUGGAAGAGGACCGGCCCCAACCCCAACCCCGUCCCCGGCGGCGGCAGCGGCACCGAGGUCCCAGUGGCCAGGGCGCCCAACGAGCGCUUCGGUAGCUCGCGCAACAUGCUGGCGCCGGCGUCCGGCCCUGACAUGGACGAGAUCGUGUCCGUGGUCGACAUCGACGGUGUCAGCAGCCGGAGGUGAACGAGAUAGAAGGCAGGCAGGCUACACGCCGCGCCGGCCACUGCCAGGGGCGAGCUGAGAAAUUCCUGGUGUCGGGGGAGGUGCGCUGUGCCUCUGGGCCAGGAAGACGAGUGGCCGCCGUGCACACUAGCUAGCUGACACAAUGUAACGUCAGGGCUUCGAUCUCUCUGUAAACGGUACCGGCGGACGGGACGCGUCUCCGGCCGGCCGGCUGUCGUGCUUGGCAGAGGCAGGAGUUAUACGACAUAUCAUGCAUGUGAGAUCGAUGCUAGCCACAACGAGGAUGCCCAAAUGAGCCGCAGCUAUUCGAUCUCCAGAAACACUGGUACAGGCCGGUAGACACAUAAGCCUGAACUGAACCACCCUCGAGCCACGACAGCCGAUCCUGUCGUCUCUUGUGCCAAUGUCGUAUAACACGCACGCUAGAUCACCAGUGAGUCAGUGACAGCGAUCGAGCAUCUAUAAAGAUGCUUCGAUUCAUCGCUCAUGUCGUCUAGACAGGACGUACGUACUCAACCUUUCCGUCGCCGGAGCACACCGGCCGUUGAGUGAUCGAGCGCCGUCGAUUCCAUCAUGCGGCCAGAGUUUAUAUGCAUCCGAUAGAUAGAUAUAUUCUCUCCCAAUAAUUGCCGACUGGACGUGGCGUGCGCGCGCAGGCAAGGCAUCCCGUCUCGUCUCGCGCACGCCCGUCGGCUGCCUCUGCGCGCAUGCAUCCAUCAAUGUCAGGGACAUGCAAGAGCAGAGCACACACACGCAGAAUUCAGACACAGGCAGCUACAUCAGUCAUCAGUGAGGGGGGCUCCAUGGCUUCGUGGCUGGCUAAUCAUGCUCUCAUAGACGUGAGUGUUGCAAGAAUAUUCUACGCUCUUCUCUGUACUACUCCUCUCUUUCACUCACUCUCUCUAAAAUCAUCUGGGCAGGAUUGUUUCGUGCCAAGCACUGUACGUACGCAUAUUCUUUUGCUUGGCAUCUGUACGACAUAACCCUUCAGGGGAGCUAUAGCUAGGGCUAUGAUGAUGUAGUACUAGUACAUAUCUUGUGUGAGGAAUGAUGUGCAAAGGCGGCACAUGGCCGAUCACACGCAUAUAGGACCGCAAGGUAAACCUCAUGGAUGCUGCUGGAUGGCAUGGCGUGGGCAGGGCCGGAUGGGCUCCUCCUUUGCGUGGGUAUCUCUUCUUGCCCUGUCCUUGGGAUCCAGAUCAGUGGGCCUGACGUGCCUGUGGGCCCCCAACAUCUCAAUCUCGAACGGUUGCACGCAAUCAUGUGGAUGAGUACUCUCCUCUAUAUUAUUCUAAAAAAAAAAGUACUCUCCUUUAUAUUAAAAAGAAAAAAAGAGUCAAUCUGACGAGUGCUCCGAUCUGGGCUGUGGCUUAAUUAGCUUGUCCCGAACAUGGAUUUAAAUAGCACGCUAUUUCCUCGCUAUAGCGUCCCUAUAGCAUAUCUGAAGCCCCGGCGCUAAAUGACGCUAAACAUUAUUUCGUAUAGCACGCUAAAUAUUUGCAUCCAAAAUCCAAAUAGUAGCUCGAACGAGAGCACGAUCCCUAACCAGCUCCACCCCGAGGGCGGUGCAUUCUCUCUCUAGUUCGGAAUGAGUACUUUAUGUUAUUUUGUCGUCCUAUGGGUUGUGGAUGUACACACUUUGCUUCUUUAAAACUAUUUAGUCAUUUAAUUAUGACUAAUAUCUAUGUUUAUGCCAUGGGAUUUGGUCUUGCAAACGAUUGGAGAACUUCUUAGUAUGUUUUUAUGCCGGAAUUUUUAAUUUUGGGUUAUAUUUAAUAUAUUUAUUUUACAAAACGCUAUUUGAAAUAGCGCACGCUAUAGCAUCUGGAGAAAGCCGGCACUAAAUGUUAUAGCGCGCUAUUUAAACAUAGAUAUUAGGCAUAAUUAAAGGACUAACUGCAAAGAAGGUCCAAAAUGAAGCAAAUGGGCCUAACUGCAAAAAGGACUCAAGCACAAAGGGAAAAAAAGACUUAAGAGGGGAGAAGGAGAAAAAGGGGAAAAG
rnacentral:lncRNA from 1 species